ensembl:lncRNA
CAUAAUUACUAUAUUGGGCUUUAUUAAAGUUUAUGAAAAAAAGAAUGAAUUCUGUAUCUUAUUUCAUGCUUAAUCAUGAGUUUAAUUUUCAACUUACAUUUUUAAGCAGUGUUGAAUGAUUACUAUGUGAGUUGCUAAAUUUGUUUUGUUUUUACAAUUAUAAUACAUAAACUAUAUAAUGAUGAAAAAUACAACAGUUAUUGUUUUCAUAAUAUUUACUAUUGACAAUCGUUAUUCUGUAUUGUAAAGAAGAAGGUUUUUAUGACAACAAAAAUGGUCAUUACUAAAAAUUAAACACUAAUUUAAUUCAUAGUUUUAUUUUUCUAUAGGUUAAGCACCUUUUCGUAAAUAUGGCUGUUUCCCAGUUUUAUUUUUUUUUUUUUUUUUUGUUUUUUUUUUAGGAUUUACAUUUAAAAAAAUGAGCCUACUUCAAACAUUUUAAGCAGCUUGAACAAAACCUGUUAAUAUUUAUUAUAGACCACUGUAACUGUCUAUUAUCUAAAAAAAACAAAUUUAUUAUGAAAAUAAAAGUGUGUACACCAGUUAAACUGGACGAUAAAGAAAUUGCUAACAAUAGUUUAAUAGAGCAUGUUUUAGGUUUAUAGGUGUUUAGAUGCAGAAAUUUAAUUUAAUUAAAUAUAGAUUAAUUCUUGUUAGAGCAAAAAAAAAAAAAAAUAAUAAUAAUAAUAAAUACAUGAAUACAUACAAAAAAAGCAGCCAAGACGAAUGAUUUUCUGUUUUUAUAGAUUAAAAUUAAAGACAGAAAGCAGCUGGUAAAUGCAGUCACUUUAAUAUUCAAAUCCAGUAUCAUGAUACACUUCAGAUUUAUUUCUCAACUGUUUAUGUUCACGUGACUGUUUUCGUUUAUAUUCGCCAAGCUAUUAUGUAUUUUGAAAUAACCUUGUUCUUGAUUUGUUCGUUCUUGCCAGAAUCAGCGUCCUCUGGAGCUCGAGAGAUCGAUGUUAUUCUGCCCUUAGACAGUCUCGCGCUGUCAAAUAGUCUUUC